GACGAACGCUGGCGGCGUGCUUAACACAUGCAAGUCGAACGGAAAGGCCCUGCUUUUGUGGGGUGCUCGAGUGGCGAACGGGUGAGUAACACGUGAGUAACCUGCCCUUGACUUUGGGAUAACUUCAGGAAACUGGGGCUAAUACCGGAUAGGAGCUCCUGCUGCAUGGUGGGGGUUGGAAAGUUUCGGCGGUUGGGGAUGGACUCGCGGCUUAUCAGCUUGUUGGUGGGGUAGUGGCUUACCAAGGCUUUGACGGGUAGCCGGCCUGAGAGGGUGACCGGCCACAUGGGGACUGAGAUACGGCCCAGACUCCUACGGGAGGCAGCAGUGGGGAAUAUUGCACAAUGGGCGGAAGCCUGAUGCAGCAACGCCGCGUGCGGGAUGACGGCCUUCGGGUUGUAAACCGCUUUCGCCUGUGACGAAGCGUGAGUGACGGGAAUGGGUAAAGAAGCACCGGCUAACUACGG
rnacentral:rRNA from 1 species